GGACAAGGCAGGGCAGGGCCCUCUUGCUGCCCACGUCGCCUUGUCCCUGUACUUAAUUCCCCAGGGAGGGCAUAGCCUGGGGACAUUCCGGUGCUAGCGCCCCACAGGCAGGGAUUCCACCUGCCCGCCCCUGGAAAGGUGCCCAGACAUAGGUGUGGCUUGUGCUGGUUUGUGUGGGAUGGUCCCAGCCCAUUCUCACCUGACCCUCGUAACACCCUCCAAGGGAGGCAGGGCCGGGCCUGCAUCCCUGUGGUCCAGGGGAGGCUGGGCAGGUAGUGGAGGCUGGGCAGGUGGAGAGGCUGGGCAGGUAGAGGAGGCUGGGCAGGUGGAGAGGCUGGGCAGGUAGAGGAGGCUGAGCAGGUAGAGGAGGCUGGGCAGGUAGGCAGCCCACCAUUCCUCCUCCCACAGCCCCUGCCCUCCCUCCUUAGGUGGGACCCAUCCUGCACUGGGAAUGUCUCACACGCCACCCCCUCACUAGUGUGUGUCUUCUGUGCCGGUCUCUUCCCCAUCUCCACCUCCACCUUGGAAAGCCCUUUCAGCUGUCUCGACAGGCCCAUUUCUAGGUGACGAGUCAGAUGAGCCUUUCUGAGUUUUUCUAAAAGACAGUGGCACCAGAUUCCCAGCCCAAAUUCCAAUAAGAUUUGUGUGUCUUUGGCAAUGAUCAUCUGUAAUACUAUUUCUAGGAUAUUUUGCUAAUCCAGUCUAAAUCUUUUUUUAAAGUCCCUCCAGAUAAUAAUGUUCUUACUUCAGGUUCUUUUCCUGCUGUUUUCUGUGUAGAGCUGCACAGACUAGGAGGAUCCACUUGAAAAGGAAGGAUCUAGCGGAUGCUGUUUUAAGUUCAUUUGGUUGACCUGACAGUGGUCCCUGCCGCGAAGUUGAUGAUUUUCUCCCUCUGGCCUGUGACGUGGUUGAUAACGGCCCCCUGUCCCCCUAUAGACUGAGGUCCAUGCCUGUCCCUGGAUAUGUGGGGCCUGGUGGGACCCCAAGGCUUGGAGCACAAGGCAGCCCAGGCCCUGAGGGCACAGGAAGUAGAUCCCAGCCCUUGUUCCUGGUCCCUUCUUCACCUGCAGGGAACUGAGAAAAAUGCAAACUCUGCUCUGAGAAGUGGCAGUCGUUUAAGGGAAACGCCUGGGUUUGCCUAGAGACCAGGAACGUUGUGUAUGUCCCUGAUGCAAAGCGUAUUUGCCUGUGACCAGAGGGAAGUGCUCCCCACGCACGGCAUCAGCCUAACCACCAGCUGGGUACAGCCUCACUGGCUGCACGUGUAAAUGAUGUUUAAAUAACCGUGAAAGGCUCUCUCCUGAGUAUCCCCGUAAGAGCCGUGUCCUGCAAACUCAGCCUCGCCUUCGGAAAACAGGCACUGAGGCCGCUGUCACAGCCAGCUCUGCCGACCUGCUCCCCUCCGCUGUGAGCUCUGCCCCAUGAAGGCAGCACCCCGAUUCUCCCUCUAGUUAAAGGUCAAAGGGAUCUUUAUAGCUAAAAAUAGUAAUAUGGAAUUGCAGGAUUGAAGAGAAAGGAUUUUGUUUCCAUUAGAAUUAGUAGGGAGUUAAUCAUGAAAGUUGCUCACUUCUGGGCAAAGAUUAAGUAUAACUGAAAAGCAAAGAUAAGAACAUUCGCUUCUUUCAUUAUAAAUUGUCAUCUUAAUUAUACACUGUGACUUUUCCCUUCCCAUUUCCAUAAAACAGUAGGUAUGAUUUUUAUUCCCAUGGCAGCGUUUUAAAAAUUGUGGUAAGAUAAACAUGACAUAAAAUUUACCACCUUGACUAUUUUCAAGUGCACAGUUCAGUCGUGUUAAGAGCAUUCACACCAUCUGUGCGAUCGUCUCCACCAUCCAUCUUCCAGACUUCUUUCAUCCUGCAAAACUGACGCCCUGUCCCCAUGAUACCCCACCGCCCUCCCCCAGCCCCCGGCACCCUCCCUUCUGUUUUCUGUCUCUGUGGAUCUCGCUGCUCCGGGGACCACACGUAAGUGGCAAAAUGGACACCCUGUCCCCAUGAUACCCCACCGCCCUCCCCCAGCCCCUGGCACCCUCCCUUCUGUUGUCUGUCUCUGUGGAUCUCGCUGCUCCGGGGACCGCACGUAAGGGGGGUCACACAGUAUUUGUCCUUUUGUGGCUGGCUUAUUGCCCUCGGCGUGAUGUCCUCGAGGUCCAUCCAUGUGGUAGCCUGUGUCAGAACUUCCUUCCUUUCCCACAUGUUUAACGUACCACAUACUAAUCCUCACAGCCCACGUCCUGGUCUCUUUAGAUCUGGGCUGGUGCCUCCCAGGAGCUGGUGGAACAGAGUUUAAUUACAGCAAAGAAAGAAACAGGGCAAGCCAGGAGCCCUGGGGGCCUGUGGGCUGAUGGGCUGGAGAAGGGCCUCGUGGAAGGCUCGCCUGCGUCCAUCCCCUCAGACGUUCCCUCCGCCCUCCGUGGGCGUCAGCCUCGCCGUACUGCAGAGAGCUGGGAGGAACAGGACAGCGCUCCCCGUGGGGCAUCUGGACGUCAGAUGCCGGCAUACUGAGAGCUUGGUCCAGGGCACCAGGAGGGGCCCCUUGGGACCGGCUCCCACAACAUGGCUCCCGGGGGCUGAGGCCUGAGGUGUCACAGACUCCCCCGGAGGUCGCAGUGGUUCCCAGGGUCAGGCGGGGCUCGUGGAGGGGUCUGGCCAGAAGAGCGGGCUCUAGCCGUCGAGGGCCCGCCUGGGUUCAGGAAGUCCCCUCUGAGCAGCUCUGCGUCUGCACAAGCCAGGGCACUUGCGGACGCUCUCAGGCCCAUUCAUGCAGGACAGACAGCCUGGGGGGCCCCCAGACCUUCCCCUGGGCUUGAGAGGGUCUCACACCUGCAGUCCCCAUGUGAGCCUGCUGAGCCAGGCACAAGAACAUGGGGGUGCCCUUUGCCCCCCACACACCGCGGAUGUGCCUGUGCUCCUGACCCAGCAGAAGCUGCCGACUAGGAAGCAGUGGUCUAAAGGCCACGUCUGCGAACAGCAGGUGACCUGCCGCCCCCCAGCCAGCGUGGAGAGUGCUGCCCAAGGGCCUGGGCGGCUCCCCUGGGGUCUCCGUGCCCUUCCGUGUGUCUCUUCUCUUUUAAAGCAUCUGUUUC